AUUGAACGCUGGCGGCAUGCCUUACACAUGCAAGUCGAACGGCAGCACGGGAGCAAUCCUGGUGGCGAGUGGCGAACGGGUGAGUAAUAUAUCGGAACGUGCCCAGUCGUGGGGGAUAACGCAGCGAAAGCUGUGCUAAUACCGCAUACGAUCUAAGGAUGAAAGCGGGGGAUCGCAAGACCUCGCGCGAUUGGAGCGGCCGAUAUCAGAUUAGCUAGUUGGUGGGGUAAAGGCCCACCAAGGCGACGAUCUGUAGCUGGGCUGAGAGGACGACCAGCCAGACUGGAACUGAGACACGGUCCAGACUCCUACGGGAGGCAGCAGUGGGGAAUUUUGGACAAUGGGCGCAAGCCUGAUUCAGCAAUGCCGCGUGCAGGAUGAAGGCCUUCGGGUUGUAAACUGCUUUUGUACGGAACGAAACGGCCCUUUCUAAUACAGGGGGCUAAUGACGGUACCGUAAGAAUAAGCACCGGCUAACUACGUGCCAGCCGCCGCCGUAA
rnacentral:rRNA from 1 species